AUUGAACGCUGGCGGCAGGCCUAACACAUGCAAGUCGAGCGGAUGAAGGGAGCUUGCUCCUGGAUUCAGCGGCGGACGGGUGAGUAAUGCCUAGGAAUCUGCCUGGUAGUGGGGGAUAACGUCCGGAAACGGGCGCUAAUACCGCAUACGUCCUGAGGGAGAAAGUGGGGGAUCUUCGGACCUCACGCUAUCAGAUGAGCCUAGGUCGGAUUAGCUAGUUGGUGGGGUAAAGGCCUACCAAGGCGACGAUCCGUAACUGGUCUGAGAGGAUGAUCAGUCACACUGGAACUGAGACACGGUCCAGACUCCUACGGGAGGCAGCAGUGGGGAAUAUUGGACAAUGGGCGAAAGCUUGAUCCAGCCAUGCCGCGUGUGUGAAGAAGGUCUUCGGAUUGUAAAGCACUUUAAGUUGGGAGGAAGGGCAGUAAGUUAAUACCUUGCUGUUUUGACGUUACCGACAGAAUAAGCACCGGCUAACUUCGUG
rnacentral:rRNA from 1 species